rnacentral:lncRNA from 1 species
GAUUAUGGGCAAUUCUGAGCUUGAACUGGGACAUAAGCUUGUCUCUCCCAAAUAUAAUAGCUGAAAUAAGUGUAUGUGCUGGCAUAUCACACACAGCCAUCUCCUUACAGAAUAAGAAAUUUAGUAGCAUAUUCUUCAAAACACAGUUGUGUUGUUGUAGUAUGUAUUUUUUGUGCGUACAUACUACUUCUUCAAAAUCCACUCUGUAGUUUACACUAAAGCACAUCUGAAUUCAGAAUAGCCACAUUUCAAUUCCUUAGUAGCCAAACGUGAAUAGUUCUUACUAUAUUGCAUGUUGAAAUGGUCAUAUCUAAUUUUCUUUUGAAGUUUCAAGGUACUGUGUUCACUGCCAUAUUGUAAAUAUAUUCUUAUACAGUUGACCACUGAAAAGUACCAGUUUGAACUCUGCUGAUGCACUUAUGUGGAAUUUUUUCAAUAAAUACAGUCAGCUCUCCUUACCUGUGGAUUCUGCAUCCACUACCAAACACAGAUGGAAAAUAUAGUAUUCGUGGGAUGCAAACCCUUGUACAUAUUUCCUAUGGCAUCGGACCCCAAAGGGCUGACUAUGGACUUCAGUAUGUGUGGAUUUGGGUAUGGGUACUGGGGGCUGGUCCUGGAACCAAUCUCAUGUGUAUACCUAGGGACAAUUGUAUUUAAUUUUUACAAUUUGGGAAAUUAAAAUGCAUGGAUUAUAUUUCCAAUAAAACAAGCAAACUGAUUUUAAGAUAAUAUAAUGUUUUUGAUGAGCUAUAUAGCUCAGUUAAAAUUAUAAUCUAGUACAUUUUUACAUGUAAUUGUGUAUAAGCUGCCACAAUAGUAAUGAUAACUCAGUGGUAUUCAGUAGGCUCUUCUCAUGUGACAAAACAAAAUGGGAGAGAAUAGGGAUAAUUAUAGCUAGCUUAAUGUUACAGAUGUGCACAGAAUGAAUACAGGUUAUUUUGUUUGCAAUCUCAGCUUUUCUCGAUCUUAUUUAGGUAAUAAUGAUCUAUCUUGUGGUCAUAAAGAUAUUUUCCUGUAUUUUAUCAUAAAAGUUUUAGAAUUUUACUUUUCAUAUGUAGGCUUUUAAUGUACCUAAACUUUAUUUUUGUGUAUUGCAUCAAAAGAACCUAGUUUAAUUCAUUUCUCUUGGAUAACCAGUUGUCCCCAUGCUUAAUGAGUAGUGUAUUUUUCCCCACUGACUUGUAAUGCCACGUUUGUGUGUAUCCAGUUUCUCUGUGUGUGUGGUCCUAUUUCUGUGCCUUCUAUUUUGGUGCCUUACCUUAAUUAUCAGUCUGUGCACUGAUUCCACAUAGUAUUAAUCAUUCUAGCUCUAAAAUAAUGUUUGAUAUCUGAUAGGGAAAUACCUUCCCAUGUAAUUUUGUCUUCAGAAUUGUCUUGACUAUUCUUGUCCCUUUGUCCCUUCACAUGAAUUUAGAAUUAAUUUUUCUUAUUUGACCAAAAAAAA